rnacentral:SRP_RNA from 1 species
UGGAACCCAUGCGACGGGUCCCUCCAAAACCCCGCCAGGGCCGGAAGGCAGCAACGGUAUGGACGGGAAACGGGCGCCGUGGGGUCU